ACGCACGCUGGCGGCGUGCUUCACACAUGCAAGUCGAACGGAAAGGCCCUGCUUGCAGGGUACUCGAGUGGCGAACGGGUGAGUAACACGUGGGUGAUCUGCCCUGCACUUCGGGAUAAGCCUGGGAAACUGGGUCUAAUACCGGAUAGGAGCCAUUUUUAGUGUGAUGGUUGGAAAGUUUUUUCGGUGUAGGAUGAGCUCGCGGCCUAUCAGCUUGUUGGUGGGGUAAUGGCCUACCAAGGCGGCGACGGGUAGCCGGCCUGAGAGGGUGGACGGCCACAUUGGGACUGAGAUACGGCCCAGACUCCUACGGGAGGCAGCAGUGGGGAAUAUUGCACAAUGGGCGCAAGCCUGAUGCAGCGACGCCGCGUGGGGGAUGACGGCCUUCGGGUUGUAAACUCCUUUCGCUAGGGACGAAGCUUUUUGUGACGGUACCUAGAGAAGAAGCACCGGCUAACUACGUG
rnacentral:rRNA from 1 species